rnacentral:misc_RNA from 1 species
CCGUCCACCGAACGGUCGGCAGGCGAUCCGCCUCGGUCUCGCGAGGUGGUAUGGUUCCCCNGAGGCCGGUUCUUGUGCUGCCUACCCGUUCGNGGGAAGCUGGCCACUUGAUGUAAGCCUCCAUCCGGCGCCNUCCAACGGGCGCAGGAGGACAACGGAGCACCCCCCGCGUUCCACCGAUCCAUCUCGGUCGCGUGGCCCGUGGGGACGUGCGAUGCUCUCGGACCCAGCGAACGCCGUGGGCGAGGACUCACGUCCCAGUCCCGAAAAGAAGCUUCGNCNUAAUGCUGACGGCCGCUCCCGCCCCCCGACCGCCCCGGCGGCGCGGGGGCGAGGCGCGGCGUCGCGGAGGAAUGCUACCU